rnacentral:rRNA from 1 species
AUUGAACGCUGGCGGCAGGCCUAACACAUGCAAGUCGAGCGGCAGCGGGAAAUUAGCUUGCUACUUUUGCCGGCGAGCGGCGGACGGGUGAGUAAUGCCUGGGAAAUUGCCCAGCCGAGGGGGAUAACAGUUGGAAACGACUGCUAAUACCGCAUACGCCCUACGGGGGAAAGCAGGGGACCUUCGGGCCUUGCGCGAUUGGAUAUGCCCAGGUGGGAUUAGCUAGUUGGUGAGGUAAUGGCUCACCAAGGCGACGAUCCCUAGCUGGUCUGAGAGGAUGAUCAGCCACACUGGAACUGAGACACGGUCCAGACUCCUACGGGAGGCAGCAGUGGGGAAUAUUGCACAAUGGGGGAAACCCUGAUGCAGCCAUGCCGCGUGUGUGAAGAAGGCCUUCGGGUUGUAAAGCACUUUCAGCGAGGAGGAAAGGUUGAUGCCUAAUACGUAUCAACUGUGACGUUACUCGCAGAAGAAGCACCGGCUAACUCCGUGCCAGCCGCCGCGGUAAUAC